GACGAACGCUGGCGGCGUGCUUAACACAUGCAAGUCGAACGGAAAGGCCCUGCUUUUGUGGGGUGCUCGAGUGGCGAACGGGUGAGUAACACGUGAGUAACCUGCCCUUGACUUUGGGAUAACUUCAGGAAACUGGGGCUAAUACCGGAUAGGAGCUCCUUCUGCAUGGUGGGGGUUGGAAAGUUUCGGCGGUUGGGGAUGGACUCGCGGCUUAUCAGCUUGUUGGUGGGGUAGUGGCUUACCAAGGCUUUGACGGGUAGCCGGCCUGGGAGGGUGACCGGCCACAUUGGGACUGAGAUGCGGCCCAGACUCCUACGGGAGGCAGCAGUGGAGAAUAUUGCACAAUGGGCGGAAGCCUGAUGCAGCAUCGCCGCGUGCGGGAUGACGGCCUUCGGGUUGUAACCCGCUUUCGCCUGUAACGAAGCGUGAGUGACGGUAAUGGGUAAAGAAGCACCGGCUAACUACGUG
rnacentral:rRNA from 1 species